GUAACUGUUACAGGUCUUAUUUACCACUGAGGAAAGAUAGAAUCCUACUAAAGGCCAGAAAAAAAAAGUUCCAGACACGGAUGAAAGGCCCUCACUUCUGCCUGUUGGAUUCAAUACGCCUAAAGGUAGGGAGUGCUCCAGGUCUGCCCCCAGGCUCCGAGGGUGGGUCUCCUAGGGGCUGGAAAAUGCCCCACCAAUCUGGCUAAGAUAAGGAAAGGAUAUGAAGAGAAAGUUACAGAAACUUGAAGGGUAAAGCUAAGUCACUGAGAGAGUUAUUGUAAGUUGCAGAGAAAAUAAGUUGAUGCGUGGUUCAGGGUCUGUGCAGAAA
rnacentral:lncRNA from 1 species